ACAACAUCCACUAGAGGGAGUCCCACGCUGUUGAAAUGUUUUAGUAUGUGAUCACACAGUCUAGAUUCUCCUCUCUCAUGAGACAGUUGUUAUGAAGAGCUUCAGAAAUGUAACCAACAGAUGAGUCUCCUCCUCCUGACUGAGCAGAUGUUUUAUAACAGGACUGUUUGAUUACUGCUGUGAACAUCAGACCAAACAAAACUCACUAAACUGAUUCCUCCUGAUCUCUCAGUUACAGCUUCUCGACUCUGCAAACAUGGACAAACUCACUGCUAUAUUUUUGUUAUCAGCUGUCACAGGUGUCAGCUGUGAAGAACUCACUCCAGUUCAGAAUGAAGAGCACAGUUUAGAAGACAGCACCGUCACUCUGUCAUACAGUUACUCCAAACUGUCAACUGGUGAUUCUGUCUUCUGGUAUCGACAACAUCCAGGAAAACAACCAGAGUUCAUCAUCUCUCACUCAGGAACAGGACGACUUAUAUCAGAUCCAGUCUCUGGACUGUCUGUUACAGUGAGAGAGGAUAAAAAACAUCUGGAUCUACAGAUCUCCUCUGCUGCACUGACUGACUCUGCUGUGUACUACUGUGCUCUGCAGCCCACAGUGACAGGAAACACCACAACUCUGUACAAAAACCUCUGGAGAGAAGACAACACAAUACUCCACAACAUCCACUAGAGGGAGUCACACACUGAUAAACUUUAGUUGUAUGUGUUGAUACAGUCUAGAUUCUUUCCCCUCAUGAUACAGUUGUGAUAAAACUCUUCAGAAAUGAAAAUGAUUUGAUAUGAGUCUCCUCCUACUGACUGCAGAGGAGCCUUAUGACAGAGAACUGGGUCUUUGUAAUAUAACAAUGAGUAAGGUCUUUUACCUGCUCUUUUGUAAAGUGUCUUCAGAUAACAUUUGUUAUGAAUUGGUGCUAUACAAAUAAAGAUUGAUUGAUUGGCU